rnacentral:rRNA from 1 species
CACGUGGGCAACCUGCCUGUAAGAUCGGAAUAACCCCGGGAAACCGGGGCUAAUGCCGGGUAAUACUUUCUUUCGCAUGAAGGAAAGUUGAAAGAUGGCUUCUCGCUAUCACUUACAGAUGGGCCCGCGGCGCAUUAGCUAGUUGGUGAGGUAACGGCUCACCAAGGCGACGAUGCGUAGCCGACCUGAGAGGGUGAUCGGCCACACUGGGACUGAGACACGGCCCAGACUCCUACGGGAGGCAGCAGUAGGGAAUCUUCCGCAAUGGACGAAAGUCUGACGGAGCAACGCCGCGUGAACGAUGAAGGUCUUCGGAUCGUAAAGUUCUGUUGUUAGGGAAGAACAAGUACCGUGCGAAUAGAGCGGUACCUUGACGGUACCUAACGAGGAAGCCCCGGCUAACUACGUGCCAGCAGCCGCGGUAAUACGUAGGGGGCAAGCGUUGUCCGGAAUUAUUGGGCGUAAAGCGCGC